CAGGAACAGUAAUGAUUGUGCACAGCCAUGGACGGCGGCUGACAGGAGCCCGUGAGGCUCACAGGUGACAGGCACCCAGCCAACCAAGACUCAGGUGGGAGGACACCACCCAAGCUUUUUGAUCUUUGUAUGGAAUAAAACCUCUUCCACCUAGGUAGAAAGUUGCAGGUCAGACCCGAACUCUAACGACAAUUUAGGACUUCACAGGGUCUUUGGAGAAUUUUAUCCUGCCUGGGGGGCUCCCCCAUGCCCCGUCACUGGCUCUCCAGUUGAUCUUCCCAGCUCCUCUUUCCUCCUUCUAAUCAGAACUCUUCGUCUGGCAUCGGCCCCUCUCCCAGGAGGAACCCUGUGCUUCAGGAAAGCCGAGGCACCCCGCCCCCCCCACCCAGGGCUAGUCUCAGUCCUUUGCCAGUUCAGGAAGGCUCAUGUGACAGUCUGGGCCAGUGAGACCACAGGAGAGGUUUCCUGGGAGCCUCCGGGAAGCUCCCCCGGUUCUUGGGAGAGGCCAGGAGAUGAGUCUCUCUGAGCACGGCUAUUCUUGAAGGUGAGGUCACCUGCUGCAGCUGUGUUUGCUCCUGGGCUGAGGACGACUCUGUGGGUGGGAAGAGGGCAGAGUGACAUGAACUACAGGAAAAUGCAGCCAGAGCCACUCGACUCCCUCAACCUUGCAGCCUGGCUUAUUGCUCAGCUUGAGGUCUCUGACCCAUACAUUGUCUUAUUUUUAAAGCCAAUUUGAGUUUUCUGUUGCAUACCCGUAAAGGAAUCGUAACUAAUACAAACUGAUAAAAAAAAAAAACUAAAGACUUCUAAAUGGUGCUAAUAGCAAAGAUGAAAAUAUUUGUGUAUCAGGAAAAGGAAUGUAAUAUGGAGAAAUAAAAAUUGCAUUGCUAUAUAAUUGAG
rnacentral:lncRNA from 1 species